rnacentral:rRNA from 1 species
UGGGGAAUUUUGGACAAUGGGCGAAAGCCUGAUCCAGCAAUGCCGCGUGUGUGAAGAAGGCCUUCGGGUUGUAAAGCACUUUUGUCCGGAAAGAAAUCCUUGGCUCUAAUACAGUCGGGGGAUGACGGUACCGGAAGAAUAAGCACCGGCUAACUACGUGCCAGCAGCCGCGGUAAUACGUAGGGUGCAAGCGUUAAUCGGAAUUACUGGGCGUAAAGCGUGCGCAGGCGGUUUGCUAAGACCGAUGUGAAAUCCCCGGGCUCAACCUGGGAACUGCAUUGGUGACUGGGCAGGCUAGAGUAUGGCAGAGGGGGGUAGAAUUCCACGUGUAGCAGUGAAAUGCGUAGAGAUGUGGAGGAAUACCGAUGGCGAAGGCAGCCCCCUGGGCCAAUACUGACGCUCAUGCACGAAAGCGUGGGGAGCAAACAGGAUUAGAUACCCUGGUAGUCCACGCCCUAAACGAUGUCAACUAGUUGUUGGGGAUUCAUUUCCUUAGUAACGUAGCUAACGCGUGAAGUUGACCGCCUGGGGAGUACGGUCGCAAGAUUAAAACUCAAAGGAAUUGACGGGGU